rnacentral:lncRNA from 1 species
CCCCCAGUCAUGAGACCCCGACCACCUCUCGCCUCCCUAAGCCUCUGAUCAUAAGAACCCGGCCACCUCCUGCCUCCCCAAGCCCCCGAUUGUCUCUCACCUCCCUGAGCCCCCGACUACUAGCCCUCAGUCGUCUCCCAUCUCUCUGAGCCCCGACCGCGAUCCUACUAAGAUAAUUGCAAACAUCUCUGGGCUCAAGGGUUUCAUGGAUUCCAUGUUCACACUCUUGGUGACACCACCA